rnacentral:ncRNA from 1 species
AGAACUAUUAUUCUGAUGAGUCGAAUGAUGGAGUAACGCCCUGAAAGGCUCACGUUAAUACUACGGACGGCUAAGCAGUGUGAAAUGCAGAUGUCGUAAGCCCGUGGAAGUCGCACGAGAGCAGUCCUAACGGAUAAAGCCGAGGAAAGUGUCACAGAGGUGUGAUGUACUGCCUAUAGUGCGGACGG